rnacentral:rRNA from 1 species
GGACUACCCGGGUAUCUAAUCCUGUUUGAUCCCCACGCUUUCGUGCCUCAGCGUCAGGAAAACCCCAGCCGGCUGUCUUCACCCUUGGCGUUCCGAUCGAUCUCUACGCAUUCCACCGCUCCACCGAUCGUUCUGCCGGCCUCUAGUUUCCUCGAGACGUGCAGUAUGCCCCGCGGUUCCCGGGUUGAGCCCGGGGCUUUCACGAGACACUUACACGCCCGCCUACGCACCCUUUAAGCCCAGUGAUUCCGACUAACGCUCGGGGCCUCUGUCUUACCGCGGCUGCUGGCAC